GGAAAUAUGUUAGUGGUUGAAGCAUAGAAGAAAUAACCUAAAAAUCCUACGUCUGAAUCCCAGCCAACAACAUUAUCUCAUGAGAGGACAACCCAUCAAGUCUGCUUGUCGGUGUAUUAGCCGAGGUGUACGCAAGCUGGCCCGAAUAUCAUUACCAUCAAAAAACAAAACUGAAAAAAGAAGUAAACAUCAAUCCAACAAAAGCAUACCUGUGCAUCAAACACAAAUAACAUCUUCGUCUUCUAACAAACGGAAUCGCCAUGGAUGAUCUUAUACUGCUUCAGAGCUGUAAAAUAGAACAUCAAUUACAAGACCCCUGCAACUAAUCAGAUAAACAAAGCCCACAAAAUGAUUCUGAGCCGAUACAGAACAA
rnacentral:lncRNA from 1 species